AGUGAACGCUGGCGGUAGGCCUAACACAUGCAAGUCGAACGGCAGCACAGUAAGAGCUUGCUCUUACGGGUGGCGAGUGGCGGACGGGUGAGGAAUACAUCGGAAUCUACUUUUUCGUGGGGGAUAACGUAGGGAAACUUACGCUAAUACCGCAUACGACCUACGGGUGAAAGCAGGGGAUCUUCGGACCUUGCGCGAUUGAAUGAGCCGAUGUCGGAUUAGCUAGUUGGCGGGGUAAAGGCCCACCAAGGCGACGAUCCGUAGCUGGUCUGAGAGGAUGAUCAGCCACACUGGAACUGAGCCACGGUCCAGACUCCUACGGGAGGCAGCAGUGGGGAAUAUUGGACAAAGGGCGCAAGCCUGAUCCAGCCAUACCGCGUGGGUGAAGAAGGCCUUCGGGUUGUAAAGCCCUUUUGUGGGGAAAGAAAAGCAGCAGGUUAAUACCCCGCUGUUCUGACGGUACCCAAAGAAUAAGCACCGGCUAACUUCGUG
rnacentral:rRNA from 1 species